ACGGUGAUCCUGGUGCUUGCACCGGGUGAUCAGUGGCGAACGGGUGAGUAACACGUGAGUAACCUGCCCCCGACCCUGGGAUAACCCCGGGAAAUCGGAGCUAAUACCGGAUACGAGACGCACACGCAUGUGUAGCGUCUGGAAAGAAUUUCGGUCGGGGAUGGACUCGCGGCCUAUCAGCUUGUUGGUGGGGUAAUGGCCCACCAAGGCGACGACGGGUAGCCGGCCUGAGAGGGCGACCGGCCACACUGGGACUGAGAACACGGGCCCAGACUCCUACGGGAGGCAGCAGUGGGGAAUAUUGCACAAUGGGCGAAAGCCUGAUGCAGCGACGCCGCGUGGGGAUGAAGGCCUUCGGGUUGUAAACCCCUUUCAGCAGGGAAGAAGCGAGAGUGACGGUACCUGCAGAAGAAGCGCCGGCUAACUACGUGCCAGCAGCCGCGGUAAUACGUAGGGCGCAAGCGUUGUCCGGAUUUAUUGGGCGUAAAGAGCUCGUAGGCGGUUUGUCGCGUCUGCUGUGAAAACCCGAGGCUCAACCUCGGGCCUGCAGUGGGUACGGGCAGACUAGAGUGCGGUAGGGGAGACUGGAAUUCCUGGUGUAGCGGUGGAAUGCGCAGAUAUCAGGAGGAACACCGAUGGCGAAGGCAGGUCUCUGGGCCGCAACUGACGCUGAGGAGCGAAAGCAUGGGGAGCGAACAGGAUUAGAUACCCUGGUAGUCCAUGCCGUAAACGUUGGGCACUAGGUGUGGGGCUCAUUCCACGAGUUCCGUGCCGCAGCAAACGCAUUAAGUGCCCCGCCUGGGGAGUACGGCCGCAAGGCUAAAACUCAAAGGAAUUGACGGGGGCCUGCACAAGCGGCGGAGCAUGCGGAUUAAUUCGAUGCAGCGCGAAGAACCUUACCAAGGCUUGACAUAUACCGAAAACUCCUGGAGACAGGGGGUCCGCAAGGGCGGUAUACAGGUGGUGCAUGGUUGUCGUCAGCUCGUGUCGUGAGAUGUUGGGUUAAGUCCCGCAACGAGCGCAACCCUCGUCCCAUGUUGCCAGCGGGUUAUGCCGGGGACUCAUGGGAGACUGCCGGGGUCAACUCGGAGGAAGGUGGGGAUGACGUCAAAUCAUCAUGCCCCUUAUGUCUUGGGCUUCACGCAUGCUACAAUGGCCGGUACAAAGGGCUGCGAUACCGCGAGGUGGAGCGAAUCCCAAAAAGCCGGUCUCAGUUCGGAUUGGGGUCUGCAACUCGACCCCAUGAAGUCGGAGUCGCUAGUAAUCGCAG
rnacentral:rRNA from 1 species